GGGCCCGCACAAGCGGUGGAGCAUGUGGUUUAAUUCGAUGAUACGCGAGGAACCUUACCAGGGCUUAAAUGUAGGUUGCAUGAUCUAGAGAUAGAUCUUUCUUCGGACUACCUACAAGGUGCUGCAUGGUUGUCGUCAGCUCGUGCCGUGAGGUGUCAGGUUAAGUCCUAUAACGAGCGCAACCCCUGUCGUUAGUUACCAGCAUGUAAUGAUGGGAACUCUAACGGGGACUGCCGGUGCAAACCGCGAGGAAGGUGGGGAUGACGUCAAAUCAUCACGGCCCUUACGUCCUGGGCUACACACGUGCUACAAUGGCCGGUACAGAGAGCAGCCACUACGCGAGUAGGAGCGAAUCUUCAAAACCGGUCUCAGUUCGGAUCGCAGUCUGCAACUCGACUGCGUGAAGCUGGAAUCGCUAGUAAUCG
rnacentral:rRNA from 1 species